rnacentral:rRNA from 1 species
UAGAGGAAGUAAAAGUCGUAACAAGGUUUCCGUAGGUGAACCUGCGGAAGGAUCAUUAUUGAAUAAACCUGAUGGGUUGUAGCUGGUUCCUUCGGGGACAUGUGCUCGCUUGUCAUCUUUAUAUCUCCACCUGUGCACAUCUUGUAGACCUGGAUCACUUUCUGAGGCAACUCAGUUCGGAGGAUUGCUUUAAUUAGCUUUCCUUAAAUUUCCAGGCCUAUGUUUUUCAUAUACCCCAUUGUAUGUAACAGAAUGUUCAUUGGGCCUUGUGCCUAUAAACUAUAUACAACUUUCAGCAACGGAUCUCUUGGCUCUCGCAUCGAUGAAGAACGCAGCGAAAUGCGAUAAGUAAUGUGAAUUGCAGAAUUCAGUGAAUCAUCGAAUCUUUGAACGCACCUUGCGCUCCUUGGUAUUCCGAGGAGCAUGCCUGUUUGAGUGUCAUUAAAUUCUCAACCUUAAAAGCUUUUGCUGCCAAGGCUUGGAUAUGGAGGUUUUGCAGGCUUUUUGUCUGCUCCUCUGAAAUAUAUUAGUAGUACCCAGUGGUGGAACUCGGUGUGAUAAUUAUCUACGCCGUGGACUCUACUUGUUAAUACUGCUUCUAACCGUCCCUUUGCUGGACAAUUUUAUGACAAUUUGACCUCAAAUCAGGUAGGACUACCCGCUGAACUUAAGCAUA